rnacentral:rRNA from 1 species
CCUACGGGAGGCUGCAGUCGAGAAUCAUUCACAAUGGGGGAAACCCUGAUGGUGCGACGCCGCGUGGGGGAAUGAAGGUCUUCGGAUUGUAAACCCCUGUCAUGUGGGAGCAAAUUAAAAAGAUAGUACCACAAGAGGAAGAGACGGCUAAAACUGUGACAGCAGCCGCGGUAAUACAGAGGUCUCAAGCGUUGUUCGGAAUCACUGGGCGGAAAGCGUGCGAAGGCGGUUUCGUAAGUCGUGUGUGAAAGGCGCGGGCUCAACCCGCGGACGGCACAUGAUACUGCGAGACUAGAGUAAGGGAGGGGGAACCGGAAUUCUCGGUGUAGCAGUGAAAUGCGUAGAUAUCGAGAGGAACACUCUUGGCGAAGGCGGGUUCCUGGACAUUAACUGACGCUGAGGCACGAAGGCCAGGGGAGCGAAAGGGAUUAGAUACCCUAGUAGUC